rnacentral:lncRNA from 1 species
UAGUAGUAUGGUGGAGACUUGUAGUAGUAUGGUGGAGGAGGUGAGGGAGAAGGAGGAGGAGGAGAUUUGUAGUAGUAGGGUGGUGGUGGGGACUUGUAGUAGUAAGGAUCAUGGGGUGGUGACUUUUCAGGUGGGGGAGGAGACUUGUAGUAGUAUGGGGGUGGUGGUGAUGGUGAAGGUGGUGGUGGGGACUUGUAGUAGUAAGGAUCAUAGGGAGGUGACUUUUUAGGCGGGGGAGGAGACUUGUAGUAGUAAGGUGGUGGAGGUGAGGGAGAGGGUGGUGGGGGAGAUUUAUAGUAGUAGGGUGGUGGUGGUGAUGGAGAUGGUGGUGGUGGUGACUUGUAAUAGUAAGGAGGUGGAGGUGAAGGAUCAGGUGGUGGAGGAGACUUGUAGUAGUAAGGUGGUGGUGGUGAUGGGGAUGGUGGUGGAGGUGACUUGUAAUAGUAUGGUGGUGGUGGUGAGGGGGAUGGUGGAGGAGGUGACUUGUAGUAGUAGGGAGGUGGUGGUGAUGGAUCAGGUGGAGGAGGUGACUUGUAGUAGUAGGGUGGUGGUGGUGAUGGGGAUGGUGGUGGAGGAGACUUGUAGUAGUAGGGAGGUGGUGGUGAUGGAUCAGGUGGAGGAGGUGACUUGUAGUAGUAGGGUGGUGGUGGUGAUGGAGAUGGUGGUGGAGGAGACUUGUAGUAGUAUGGUGGUGGUGGUGAUGGAGAAGGUGGAGGAGGAGACUUGUAGUAGUAAGGAGGUGGUGGUGAUGGUGAUGGUGGAGGAGGAGACUUGUAGUAGUAGGGAGGAGGUGGUGAUGGAUCAGGUGGAGGUGGUGAUUUGUAGUAAUAGGGUGGUGGUGGUGAUGGGGAAGGUGGUGGAGGAGAUUUGUAGUAGUAUGGUGGUGGUGGUGAGGGAGAGG